AUAAAGAAGUCUGCAUCCUUAGUCCCAGACCUCCGCAGUUAGUAUUUGGAUUCUAGCCUUUAUAAAUGGACUUCUCAAAGGUGCAUCCAACAUCUGAGUAUUCUGGCAGCAGUAACGUAAAAGGACUGACAAGGAAGGCUGCAGAGAGGUGUCAGACACGAAAACGCUUGAAGACAUAAAAAUGAGGAGUCUUAAGCACCUAAGAACUGCAAUUCCCUAUCUGAGCAGCAGGAGGCUGGGACCUGAUCCUGGCAUAAAAAGCGGAUGCGGGCGACCGAGGACCACACACGUGGGGGCGUUCGCGGGCGCUGAAACCAGCUACGAGGCCCACGCCCCCGCCGGGGACAGCUGGUGACCAUCACCUUUGGACAGGGGCAUUCCCCAGCCGGCCCCGGAACUUGCGAAAGACGCGCAGCCCUUCGGACUCAGCCACUCGCGCAGGGCCCGGGUCCCGGGCGGCUCGGGGCACCUGAGGAGCGCGGCGAAGGCGGGGACAGGGACGGGGACGGGGACGACUCGGGAACAGGGAAGCGCGCGGCCUCCCGCAGGACCCACCUGGAUCUGCAACGGCACGAGGCGCACCUUGCAGCGCUCGCUCACCGCGAAGCCCUUGGGCAAGUCCACGUACUGGCCCCACUCCUCGGCGAACAGCUGCACCACGAAUUUGCGGUGCAUGUCGAUCUGGUCGCCGUACAGGCUGAGGAACUUCUGGAUGAGCAGCUCGUAGCCCGCCCCGUGUGGCACCGACGAGGGUCGCGCGAAGACUGAGAAACAGAAGAGCACCGGGACUGUGCCCGACGGCGCCCCCGCGCCCCCGGCGCCGCUGUUGGGGAGCGCAAGGACCGCCGGCUCCGCAGCCGCCAUGUUCCCCCGAGCGUCUGCGAGCUCCGAGGCCGCCCAGUCGCACCCAGCCGGCUGCCGCGGCCCCGCCUCCCGGCGAUGCCAGCCCGCCCGCCAGCUCGCGGAGGCGAAGGGGCGUGUCCUGACGACCGCUGCUCGCGCGCUCUCUUACCCGCCCCGGAGGGCGGGCCGCGGCGUAAGGGUGGGUGGUGGGGCCGGGGUGCGCGCGUGAGCCAGGGAGCGCCUGCGCUCGCCGGCCGGGUCCGCCCCCUCCAGCUUCCCGGGCCGCUGCGUUCCCGCAGUUCCCCGCUCGCGCCCUUUCUGCCGCGGUUCUGACUGCCGGCAGAACGCCUAGUGGUCUCGCAGACCCAAGACCCGCCUGGGCUGCCCGUUGUUCUUGCCCCGGUGCUGCAGCUCACACAAGGGUUUGUACCACCCUUCCCCUAACGCUGGCCCUCUUCGCGGCUUCGCUCGCCUUCGAAUGAGCAGUGUUCUUGGCAGUCUAGGGUUGUGGUUGGGUACACAGAGCCGCCAGGACGAGUUACCUGUUGGCUCUGUGCAGAAGCAUGCAGUCCUCCUCGAGAUGGCAGUGGUAUCUUACAACCAAAGGGACAGUCCGAUAGAUACCCUAAGAAGAGCAGCAGAAUUUAAUCCUUAGAGGGCCAGUCAAGGUUCAAGUUUUGUCUUUUUUCGGUCCCACAGAACACAAUAUCUCUAGGAAUGGAUUUGAUAUCUGGCCUCCCUUCAUCUCAACCUAUUUCUGGGAGGACUUGGAUUUGGGAAUAUAAAUACUAUUAAAAGCAAAAAUCUGAACUUUAUAUUGAAACUAAGGAUAUCUGUUUUUAAGUAAGUAAAAGGGAUCACUUUCAAAUAAAACAAUCCUCUGCCUUCUGCACACUGUAAGGCGCUAUAAUUAACUGGAAUUAGAAAGCAUGCAUUAUGAACAGAAUUUCCUUGGAAUUGAGUCCUGCGAAGAUAGGCAUGGGCCUAAACAUAAAAUUAGAUUUUAGGUAUUAAAGCUGUCCUCUUCUAAGAAAAUAACCUUUAAAGCAGGGUUUCCCAACUGACACUGUUGACUUCUGGAAUGGACAUUUCUCUUUCUUGGGGAUGGGGCAUCUUGUGCAUUUGCAGGAUAUUUAGCAGCAUCACCGGCUUCUACUCCCGCUAGAUGCCUAGUGACCGCUCCUCCCUCUAGUUAUGGCAAUCAAAAAUGUUUCCAGACAUUGCCAAAUAUUCCCCAGAGGGCAAAUAUACCCCCUACUUGAGAACCACACUGCUUUAAAGUUAUGAAAAGACCAUCCUUUGGUGUUUCUUGCUCAAUUGUACCGAAGCUACUAGAAAUAGCCAUUUUUUUCUGGUUCUCAUCACACUUUGAGAGAUCCCAUUUAAAAGUGUUGUCUGAACCCGUCAGACCCAAAAUGAUAUUUUUUUCCGGAUACCACUCCAUUGCAAGGUCUUCUAUAUGCAGAUAUGCUGAUUUGUGCUAAUAAGUGUACCCCCUCAAGACCUGAUUACCAAAAGGUACCUACCUAUUUUGGGUGGACUAAUAAAAGUGUUCCUUCCACCCUGUAAAGCCUCCUAACACAGAGUAGGUUGGAGAUUAGAGAUUGGCCUAGACUUCAGACAUCCUCAGCGAGGACCUUGGCAUCUACACAGUCUUCUGCCGUGGCCCUCAUGGCCGUGAGUCAACAUACUUCAUUUCCCUUUCAUGUUUUUAAAUUAGGUUUCUGACCCUUCAGUAAGGAAAUCAACUUCCAUAUAUAUUGUGCUGUCUGAGAUUGGUCCUUGACAACCUAGUUUAAUGGUGCAAUCAUUGUGGUAAUAGCAUGUUAAAUAACAUUAAUAAAAUAGAUAUUUGAUGGGCA